GAUGAACGCUGGCGGCGUGCCUAAUACAUGCAAGUCGAGCGAACAGACGAGGAGCUUGCUCCUCUGACGUUAGCGGCGGACGGGUGAGUAACACGUGGAUAACCUACCUAUAAGACUGGGAUAACUUCGGGAAACCGGAGCUAAUACCGGAUAAUAUAUUGAACCGCAUGGUUCAAUAGUGAAAGACGGUUUUGCUGUCACUUAUAGAUGGAUCCGCGCCGCAUUAGCUAGUUGGUAAGGUAACGGCUUACCAAGGGAACGAUGCGUAGCCGACCUGAGAGGAUGAUCGGCCACACUGGAACUGAGACGCGGUCCAGACUCCUACGGGAGGCAGCAGUAGGGAAUCUUCCGCAAUGGGCGAAGGCCUGACGGAGCAACGCCGCGUGAGUGAUGAAGGUCUUCGGAUCGUAAAACUCUGUUAUUAGGGAAGAACAAAUGUGUAAGUAACUAUGCACGUCUUGACGGUACCUAAUCAGAAAGCCACGGCUAACUACGUG
rnacentral:rRNA from 1 species